GCUAGCUACAGGCUUAACACAUGCAAGUCGAGGGGCAGCAUGGUCUUAGCUUGCUAAGGCCGAUGGCGACCGGCGCACGGGUGAGUAACGCGUAUCCAACCUGCCUUACACUCUUGGACAGCCUUCUGAAAGGGAGAUUAAUACAAGAUGUUAUCAUGAGUAAGCAUUUUCGCAUGAUUAAAGGUUUACCGGUGUAAGAUGGGGAUGCGUUCCAUUAGAUAGUAGGCGGGGUAACGGCCCACCUAGUCUUCGAUGGAUAGGGGUUCUGAGAGGAAGGUCCCCCACAUUGGAACUGAGACACGGUCCAAACUCCUACGGGAGGCAGCAGUGAGGAAUAUUGGUCAAUGGACGAGAGUCUGAACCAGCCAAGUAGCGUGAAGGAUGAAGGUUCUAUGGAUUGUAAACUUCUUUUAUACGGGAAUAAACGGAUCCACGUGUGGAUUUUUGCAUGUACCGUAUGAAUAAGGAUCGGCUAACUCCGUGCCAGCAGCCGCGGUAAUACGGAGGAUCCGAGCGUUAUCCGGAUUUAUUGGGUUUAAAGGGAGCGUAGAUGGGUUGUUAAGUCAGUUGUGAAAGUUUGCGGCUCAACCGUAAAAUUGCAAUUGAUACUGGCAGUCUUGAGUACAGUUGAGGUAGGCGGAAUUCGUGGUGUAGCGGUGAAAUGCUUAGAUAUCACGAAGAACUCCGAUUGCGAAGGCAGCUUACUAACCUGUAACUGACAUUGAUGCUCGAAAGUGUGGGUAUCAAACAGGAUUAGAUACCCUGGUAGUCCACACGGUAAACGAUGAAUACUCGCUGUAGGCGAUAUACAGUCUGCGGUCAAGCGAAAGCAUUAAGUAUUCCACCUGGGGAGUACGCCGGCAACGGUGAAACUCAAAGGAAUUGACGGGGGCCCGCACAAGCGGAGGAACAUGUGGUUUAAUUCGAUGAUACGCGAGGAACCUUACCCGGGCUUAAAUUGCAACCGAAUAUGGCGGAAACGCUAUAGCUAGCAAUAGCGGUUGUGAAGGUGCUGCAUGGUUGUCGUCAGCUCGUGCCGUGAGGUGUCGGCUUAAGUGCCAUAACGAGCGCAACCCUUGCCGAUAGUUACUAACAGGUUAUGCUGAGGACUCUGUCGGGACUGCCAUCGUAAGAUGUGAGGAAGGUGGGGAUGACGUCAAAUCAGCACGGCCCUUACGUCCGGGGCUACACACGUGUUACAAUGGGGGGUACAGAGGGCUGCUACCACGCAAGUGGAUGCCAAUCCCAAAAACCUCUCUCAGUUCGGAUUGAAGUCUGCAACCCGACUUCAUGAAGCUGGAUUCGCUAGUAAUCGCGCAUCAGCCACGGCGCGGUGAAUACGUUCCCGGGCCUUGUACACACCGCCCGUCAAGCCAUGGGAGCCGGGGGUUCC
rnacentral:rRNA from 1 species